UCCAUUCGAAUCCUCAAUCUCUAAUUUAAAUUCUCAUACUUUUUCCAAUCAAAUUGGACACUCCUAGACUUUUAUGUAGCCAACCUUAGCUCACGGUACGGACAGGUAUUGUAGAAUCGGUUUAGUUUCUUUUAUUCAUGUUUUGGCAAAUCUUUUGUGUCCAUUCGAAUUCUCAAUCUCUAAUUUGAAUUCUCAUACUUUUUUGAAUCAAAUUGGCCACUUCUAGGCUUUGCUCUAGCCAACCCUAGCUCACUGUACAGAUGAGUGUUAG
rnacentral:lncRNA from 1 species